rnacentral:rRNA from 1 species
CCAGCAGCUGCGGUAAUACAGAGGAUGCAAGCGUUAUCCGGAAUGAUUGGGCGUAAAGCGUCCGUAGGUGGUUUGUCAAGUCUGUGGUUAAAGCGUGGAGCUUAACUCCAUAAAGGCCAUGGAAACUGACAGACUAGAGUCAAGUAGGGGUAGAGGGAAUUCCCAGUGUAGCGGUGAAAUGCGUAGAGAUUGGGAAGAACACCGGUGGCGAAAGCGCUCUACUGGACUUGUACUGACACUGAGGGACGAAAGCUAGGGGAGCGAAAGGGAUUAGAUACCCCUGUAGUCCUAGCCGUAAACGAUGGAUACUAGGUGUUGCCCGUAUCGACCCGGGCAGUGCCGUAGCUAACGCGUUAAGUAUCCCGCCUGGGGAGUACGCACGCAAGUGUGAAACUCAAAGGAAUUGACGGGGGCCCGCACAAGCGGUGGAGUAUGUGGUUUAAUUCGAUGCAACGCGAAGAACCUUACCAGGGCUUGACAUGUCUAGAAUUCUUGCGAAAGUGGAAGUGCCUUAGGGAGCUAGAACACAGGUG